UACGUAGGGGGCUAGCGUUGUCCGGAAUCAUUGGGCGUAAAGCGCACGUAGGCGGCUUAGUAAGUCGGAUGUGAAAUCCCUCGGCUCAACCAAGGAAGUGCAUCCGAAACUGCUGAGCUUGAGUACGAGAGAGGAUCGCGGAAUUCCCGGUGUAGAGGUGAAAUUCGUAGAUAUCGGGAGGAACACCAGUGGCGAAGGCGGCGAUCUGGGUCGAUACUGACGCUGAGGUGCGAAAGCGUGGGGAGCAAACAGG
rnacentral:rRNA from 1 species